ACGCGUUUGAGGCUGUCAAUGAUGUCGCCCUUUCACGGCGAAAACACGGGUUCGAUUCCCGUAGGGCGCGCCA
rnacentral:tRNA from 1 species